GGGACCCCUUCCGCUCGACAGACAGGUGCCCCGUCAGAGCCUCGAGGGUGGCGGUGGGAGCCUGUGGUUGGGGAGCAGCCCCUGACAUCUGGGCCAACCCCUGCGGGAGAGAGCGCCAGAGCGAGAGGAGCCCAGCGGCAGCCGCCAGAGCAGGUGGGGAGGCGCAGGGGACACGGUUCCCAGCCGGAGGGGGGCGAGGAGCGGCAGAGACGCGACCCCAGACGCCGCCCCGCCUGCGAUCGCCGGGGCGCGGGGCGGCGGGAUGGGCCCCCAGGCGGCGGCCGGCGCCGGGCCCGGUUCGCGUUCUCCUCCGCGGCCUGCUGGGCUCCGCAGCGCCGCCUGGCGGACACGCCGCUCUUAGCUGCGGCCUGCGCGGCGGCCGGCGGGGCUCGGGGACCCCGCGGCGGACCCGGAGAGCGCGGGAGGGAGCCGCGAGCGCGCCGCGGGCCUGGGCGUGCGUUCCCCGGGGCGCACUCGCACCCGGGCCGGCGUGCGCAGCUCAGGCGGGCACCCCCUGCGCCGGCCCGGCGCCCGCGCGCCUCAGGUCCCUCCGCCACGUCGGGGGGCGCUCCUCCCUGCGGCCCCGCGCGCCCCAGCCCCGGCGUUGCGCUGCCUCUGCGCAGCUUCUCCGGGACCGAGGUCCCGUUAAAAUCGCUGGGAGUUUUGGGUUGGAUUUUUUUUGUUAAUAACAUACCCAGGGUGGGCGUGAAGGCACGACCUUGUCCAGUUGCUCUCCCUGCGGGUCUCAGACCUGAAAUCCCAGGGCGGGGUAACUUCUCGGUCCUUCUCCGCCCAUGCGGGUCCCGGCGGGCGAGGCGUGGUGGCGCAAGGACCCCUGUCCCGAGGCGCGAGGCUCACGGGGAGCAGCGUGUGGCCCCGAGGGGCCAGGGGCGCGGGGCUAGCGCUGGGGAGAGGAGCAGGGGCCUGGCUCUCACGUCCGCGCCGCGGGCCCCGCAGCAGCGGGGACUGGGGGCGCACCCCCUCCUGGCACGCGCGCCCCUCCCGCUCGCCGGGGUGCCCGGGGCCGGGGGUCUGUCCCGGAGCCCCGGGAUGACUUGGGCUCCCCCCGCCCCGACACCCCCUCCCCCCGCCAUCGGCCCGGGUUCUCGAGGCGCCAGGCCCAGCCCAGCCCCGCUUCCCUGGGCCGCAGCGGAGGGACACGGCCCGCGGGUCCCCCUCCGGCGCCAGCUCGGGUCCCCGCAGUCGGGGCGCGCGGGCGGGCGCGUGGGGGGCGACGGGGCCGGGGUCUCCACCAAGUUGUCUCCCGGGGGUGGGGGCCGGAGAGCGCCCGCGGCGUCCCGUGGGUCACCGGGGUGGCUGUGCGUGCCACCCGGGAAGAGGCCCGCGGCCGUGAGGCUGACGCAGGGAGGAGAGCGGGAAAGUCUCCGGGUCGCCAGCCCCCGAGCCCCGGGCGGCGGGAACGGCGCGGUGGGCCGACCGAGGCCCGGGGCUGGGGGCGGCCUGUGCGCGGCGGAGAGCCUCCCGAGGCGGCAGGGGGAGCCUGGCGCCGAGGGAACCCAGAGCGGCCUGACCCCAGGGAGAGGGGAUCCGGGUGCGCGCACCCGCCGCGCCUCCGGGGUCCCGGGGUCCCAGCAAAGGGGCGCACCGGGCCCAGAGCUCCCGCGGCCCGGGAGGGCGAGCGCCCCAACAGCCGGGAGACCCGAGCUCGCGCGCAGGGCUGAGCAGCAGCGUCUGCGGGGCGGGGGGCGGGGAGCCGGGGGCGGGUGCACCGGGCCUCGGCCCCUUCCGACACCCUCAAAAAAAUAUAGAUUAGGGCUCUUCUCUGCGCGGUUGCCUCGGAGCUACGUGCAGCUCGGUCCCGCCGCUCCAGCUGGGGAGGAGGGUCCCGCCGCGCCUUCUCCGGUCCCAGCCGGCAGCCCCGGGACAGGCCCUCGGCGCCCCCCUGGAUGCCCCGGCGAGACCGAGGAUGGGCUCGGGGCCCCUCGGGGCCGAGUGUGA
rnacentral:lncRNA from 1 species